CGCGGACUGACGGAAUAGUCCGUUAAAGGGUGUAGAUGUUGAUUCCUGCAGGCAAAUCCGCAGGAAGAGUCGAACCUGACAGUAUGGAGCGUCCUUCGGGACAAUCCAAUAGUGCACGUAAGCAUACUCCCGAGAAAAUCCGCUAAACUUAAUCCUUGUGGUACCCGUACCGCAAACGGACACACGUAGUCGGGUUGAAUAUACUAAGGCGCUUGAGUGAUUCACGGUUAAGGAACUA
rnacentral:ncRNA from 1 species